rnacentral:rRNA from 1 species
CCUACGGGGGGCUGCAGUGAGGAAUAGUGGUCAAUGGACGAGAGUCUGAACCAGCCAAGUAGCGUGAAGGAUGACUGCCCUAUGGGUUGUAAACUUCUUUUAUAGGGGAAUAAAAUGUUCCACGUGUGGGAUUUUGUAUGUACCAUAUGAAUAAGGAUCGGCUAACUCCGUGCCAGCAGCCGCGGUAAUACGGAGGAUCCGAGCGUUAUCCGGAUUGAUUGGGGUUAAAGGGAGCGUAGGGGGAUUGUUAAGUCAGUUGUGAAAGUUUGCGGCUCAACCGUAAAAUUGCAGUUGAAACGGGCAGUCUUGAGUACAGUAGCGGUGGGCGGCAUUCGUGGUGUAGCGGUGUCAUGCU